UUCAAUUCUGUCUUUAAUCAGGUUAAUACAUCUCCUUCCUUUUCUCAAUUUCCUUAUUAAUUUCUGCAUCUAUGCAUAGAGUUUCUUUUAACUUGCUCUGCAUACCUUUAGGCUUCAGCAGAAGGCUAGUUUGGUUGUUCAUUUGGAUUCCAAAAAGGAAUAUGAUCUUAGAGUAAAAGCUGCUUUUCUAUAAUAAUUUUGUCUUCCUUUUGCUCUUUGCUAUGUAGGCUCUGCAAAUUAACAAUAGGGUUUAUGUUGAAAUCUCAAGAAAGCUUAAUUUUGCUGUCAUUUAUCUGAAAUUGUUGUGCUUAUUUUCUCUGAGUUUCAUUUGCAUAAUGUUUCUGAUGUGGAACCAAUAGAACAAAACAAAGGGAAAAUAACAAAGCUCUGAAACUUUGUUUAGUUCUCAAUUAU
rnacentral:misc_RNA from 1 species